rnacentral:rRNA from 1 species
UACGUAGGGUGCGAGCGUUAAUCGGAAUUACUGGGCGUAAAGCGUGCGCAGGCGGUUCGUCGUGUCCGAUGUGAAAGCCCCGGGCUCAACCUGGGAAUGGCAUUGGAAACUGGCGGACUCGAGUGUGGCAGAGGGGGGUGGAAUUCCGCGUGUAGCAGUGAAAUGCGUAGAGAUGCGGAGGAACACCGAUGGCGAGGGCAGCCCCCUGGGCUAACACUGACGCUCAGGCACGAAAGCGUGGGGAGCAAACAGG